UCUGGGACAAGCCCUGGAAACAGGGUCUAAUACCGGAUAACACUCCUGCCUGCAUGGGCGGGGGUUGAAAGCUCCGGCGGUGAAGGAUGAGCCCGCGGCCUAUCAGCUUGUUGGUGGGGUAAUGGCCCACCAAGGCGACGACGGGUAGCCGGCCUGAGAGGGCGACCGGCCACACUGGGACUGAGACACGGCCCAGACUCCUACGGGAGGCAGCAGUGGGGAAUAUUGCACAAUGGGCGAAAGCCUGAUGCAGCGACGCCGCGUGAGGGAUGACGGCCUUCGGGUUGUAAACCUCUUUCAGCAGGGAAGAAGCGAAAGUGACGGUACCUGCAGAAGAAGCGCCGGCUAACUACGUGCCAGCAGCCGCGGUAAUACGUAGGGCGCAAGCGUUGUCCGGAAUUAUUGGGCGUAAAGAGCUCGUAGGCGGCUUGUCACGUCGGAUGUGAAAGCCCGAGGCUUAACCUCGGGUCUGCAUUCGAUACGGGCUAGCUAGAGUGUGGUAGGGGAGAUCGGAAUUCCUGGUGUAGCGGUGAAAUGCGCAGAUAUCAGGAGGAACACCGGUGGCGAAGGCGGAUCUCUGGGCCAUUACUGACGCUGAGGAGCGAAAGCGUGGGGAGCGAACAGGAUUAGAUACCCUGGUAGUCCACGCCGUAAACGUUGGGAACUAGGUGUUGGCGACAUUCCACGUCGUCGGUGCCGCAGCUAACGCAUUAAGUUCCCCGCCUGG
rnacentral:rRNA from 1 species